ACGUGAACAGCUGAACCGAGCUCGCGGCCCGCGUUGUGUAUAGCUGUAAAAUUUGAGAAAUUAGAAGUAAAACAAGCAGUUGAAACUUGAUUUAGUUGUUGUAAUAUACUAUUGUCCGUACUCAAACCCCCAAUCGCGUUUGGACCAAGGACAGGAAUCGUCUGAAGCACAGAUCUGAUUAGGCUGUAUUUUUUUUUUUGGUUCAUAAGUGAUUUUUCUUCAACUAUAACUACUAUAUUUCUUGGUGAGUUGGGUUUUUUUUUGUGUGUUCUUUUCCUCUGUUUUUGUUGUUCCAUCUUCUCUGUUCGUGAUCCUGACACCUGACAUUUGGAGUGUGGAGUUCUAGAAGUCCAAAGUAUUCUUGUUUCUGCCAUCUUGGAGGACAUUCGCUGUUGGUGGAAACUGGCGAGCCGCCCGGUUUUAUGGAACCAAUAUUUCGUGUUGCCCAAUUCAUCUGAUUGGUAGGAAAUUUGAGUUUAUAUUUUCCAUCGUCUAUCGGACACAGGAACGACUGGAAGCUAGAGUCAUAUUUAGUUCUAUUUUUCUGGAACUGAGCUACUAAUCAGUGUUAAAACAAAACACUGCAACGGGUGCAUUAUAUACAUUUGAGUUUAUUGAACUGAACUUGAACAUUUCGCAACCAAACAGGUGA
ensembl:processed_transcript